CGGCCUACGGGUGGCUGCAGUAGGGAAUAUUAGAAAUGGACGAAAGUCUGAUCUAGCAACACCGCGUGUGCGAAGAAGGCCUUCGGGUUGUAAAGCACUUUUUGGAAGGAUUAGGAAGGAAUGUACUUCCAGAAUAAGUCUCGGCUAACUACGUGCCAGCAGCCGCGGUAACACGUAGGAGGCAAACGUUAUCCGGAUUUACUGGGCGUAAAGCGCGUGUAGGUGGUUCUGUAAGUAGGGCGUGAAAGCUCCUGGCUCAACUGGGAGAGGCCGUUCUAAACUGCAGAGCUAGAGGAUGGUAGAGGGAGGUGGAAUUCCGGGUGUAGCGGUGGAAUGCGCAGAUAUCCGGAGGAACACCAGUGGCGAAAGCGGCCUCCUGGACCAUUCCUGACACUCAGACGCGAAAGCUAGGGUAGCAAACGGGAUUAGAUACCCCGGUAGUCGC
rnacentral:rRNA from 1 species